AUCAUGCAGUGAUGUUGGUGUUCCAUUACAAAACACAAUUCCCUUUCUAUCUUUCUAUUGGCCCAACGAUAAUCAAAUCGUAGUCCCUUCUUUUAUUUAAUGGGUAAAACUACCAUAUAUUGCCCAUAUUGGUCAGUUUGGUUGACUUCAUUACAUUUUAGAGCCUUUGCAAAAGCUUUUGUGAACACCUUAACUCACUUUCUCCAACGAUCAACAGAUGUAUGCUAAUUACAGAAAUGUUGCAGCAAAAUCGAUUGCACUUCCGUAUAGACUCAUCUAGCAGACAUAUCGGUUAGUUAUGCUCCUCGGGAUUUCGUACCAGUUAAGAUUUUUUUUUUUACAUCUGAAUAGAAAGACAUUCCACGUGUUGACAAGCAUGGAAGUAUGGACUUGGGAGAUAAACAUCAUGUGACUGCUGCCAUGGAAGUCCAGCAAAGAAGGACCACAGACAGAAUCAGAAACCUGAUAGAUGGAAAUAUAUUCAAAUCAGCAAUACAUCUAAAGUGACUAUAAUAAACAAUUGUUUAUUGUUAUAAAUCAUUUACAUUUGUGGACGUUUUGUAAAAUUCAAAAGUUGGAUCUAAUUAAGAUUGCAGAACCAGCACUGAUCUCACCAUGUAAAGUAUUAGGCAAACCAGUAUUUUUAUAAGACCUAUUCAGCAUUUAAAUUAAUGGUAGUAUGUUGCCUACCAUGCAGACCACCAAGUUCUUGUUUGUCAUAAAUCUGAAUGGUGAACUCACUGUCACUACAACUUCUCUACAAUGUCACACCUGUCCACUAGAUGUCAGUAGUUUCAAAUGGAAACACUAAAUACAGGCAAAGAUCCUGAAAGGUUCCCCACGUAACGACCAACAGGCCGGCCUGCAGUACCAGACGGCACACUGGGGAACACAGAUUCUUAGUUCAGGUAUAAUGGGCCAAAACUGUUUAUAAAUGCCCUUAUUACAUCAGCCACUCUGCUUGACACAGAUACCCAGCCUUAAAUAAACCUAGUGAUAAAGCAGGAACCUAGCUGUGCUGGCUAAAUCUGUCAUCACCUGAACACCCUCUAAAAUCUCAGUUUGUUACAUGCUUAGCGUUAUUACAUAGGUUGUCAAUAGCAGAUAUUACAUUUCAUUAGGUUAAUGAAUGACACUGUAAUAACACUGUAGAGAAAGUUGUUUUCACUCAGCGUCUUUAGCUUGCACUCUGUUACUGUCCUUUUUGAGUUUGUUCUCUGACAUAUUUCAGUGUUGUUUGAACACCGAUUCCGAUGAAUGCUCUAAUCUGGGAAAUAGUAAAAAUGAAGUCUUAUUGGCAUCGACGGUUGGACCUGUAAUAACUGACUUAUUGCCUAGUGAUGUCACCAGACAAGCGACAUUUUGGUGUAAAAGAAAAUGUAUUUGAUUUGAUAGGUUGGAUUAAAUUCAACUUUAUUGUUAUAAAGUAUUUGCAAGUAUUAAGUGUAAUGUAUGUUACAAGUGGGAUGUAUACAGUAGAUGCACAUUGAAGGCAAAUGCAAUUACAAAUGGCAAUUCUAAAUGUGCAUUUAAGGCAAAUUGAAGGCGCCAGGAGACGAAACAUCCC
ensembl:lncRNA